AGGAGCUCAGCCUCGGUCUCGCGAAAUGGAGCGAGACUACGGAAGCCGGAAGCACUGGGUUAAGCAUUUCCUGAGCUAAGGGCUGCCUGCGGCUCCGAGGCCCUGGAAAUGUAAAGAUGAAAAAUACUCCUGAUUCUUGAGUGAUGCACAAUCCAAUAGAAGAUUAGACAUAAGAAGAAAUGUGACACAUGCAUGAAAGAACAUAAUAACACAGAUGCUUUUACAAGGAGAAUCUUCUGGCUAAAGGUUAGGGGGAUGUAGCAAUUCAUGAAUUCAGAGGAGUGAGAAUCACGUCAAACUAUAAAGAUUGAGCAAGGUUUUAUUGAAGAAGAGUCAGGAUGUUAACUGGAUCUCAAAGGGCUUGGGAGAGGAGAGAAGACAGAAAAAGUAAGGAAAAUGCAACCCAGGGUCAGCGGCAGUAAGCAGAACACCUUGGCCGAAGUAUGAAUUUGAGGAAGUAGCUAUCUCCUGAAUCACUGCCCAGUUGCCAGCUGCAAGUCCUAGCUCCACAGACAUAAAUGUCCACAGCACAAAGCCAAAAGAAUCUCUUAAGGGUGAUGCUGUCAAGCAAUAGCAGAAGGAGUUGGUGUUCUGGAGUCAGACACAGUUCACACAAGCUUUGAGAUUAAUUUCAUUGACACAAAGAGAGAAGGCAUUGCU